AUGUAACUCAGUUUGAAUUCGGGAUCCGUCUAUCACGAGAACUUUCUUAGACAAUAAAUCGCAAAUACUUACGUAAUACCUUCGUAUUCGUGUCUGACACAGAUUGGCGCUAGUUGGAGCGAAGUAUUUACGUACUCUCUCGGACUAAAUCAUCCUUGAUCUGGUACUACCAUGCGCCGUCGUUCUAUUAUUCAUACCAUGUUAUCUAUUAUACUUAUUAAUCAAGACAUGCAGUUCCCAACAAUCGACUAAUUUAGCCAAACUUGCAUGUAACCGACGGGGGGGGGGGAUUUUGUACGUUCUUUGCAUGG